UACGUAGGUGGCUAGCGUUGUCCGGAUUUACUGGGCGUAAAGAGCGCGCAGGCGGUCGUUCAAGUCGAGUGUGAAAGCCCCCGGCUCAACUGGGGAGGGUCACUCGAUACUGAUCGACUUGAAGGCGGGAGAGGGAAGCGGAAUUCCCGGUGUAGUGGUGAAAUGCGUAGAUAUCGGGAGGAACACCAGUGGCGAAGGCGGGUCUCUGGGCCGAUACUGACGCUGAGGAGCGAAAGCGUGGGGAGCGAACAGG
rnacentral:rRNA from 1 species